rnacentral:rRNA from 1 species
AACGAACGCUGGCGGCAGGCCUAACACAUGCAAGUCGAGCGCCCCGCAAGGGGAGCGGCAGACGGGUGAGUAACGCGUGGGUAUCUACCUAGUGGUGCGGAAUAGCCCAGGGAAACUUGGAGUAAUACCGCAUAAGCCCGAAAGGGGAAAGAUUUAUCGCCAUUAGAUGAGCCCGCGUUGGAUUAGCUAGUUGGUGGGGUAACGGCCCACCAAGGCGACGAUCCAUAGCUGGUCUGAGAGGAUGAUCAGCCACACUGGGACUGAGACACGGCCCAGACUCCUACGGGAGGCAGCAGUGGGGAAUAUUGGACAAUGGGCGCAAGCCUGAUCCAGCCAUGCCGCGUGAGUGACGAAGGUCUUCGGAUUGUAAAGCUCUUUUACCAGGGACGAUAAUGACGGUACCUGGAGAAAAAGCCCCGGCUAACUUCGUGCCAGCAGCCGCCGUAAGAC